rnacentral:tRNA from 1 species
GCAGUGGUAGUUCAGUGGUAGGAUUCUUGCCUUCUGUGCGGGAAACCCAGGUCUAAUUCCAGCCAAUGCA